CGGGACGUAGCGUAGCCUGGUUAGCGCGCCUGCUUUGGGAGCAGGAGGUCGAGAGUUCGAAUCUCUCCGUCCCGACCA
rnacentral:tRNA from 1 species